rnacentral:rRNA from 1 species
UACGAAGGGGGCUAGCGUUGCUCGGAAUCACUGGGCGUAAAGGGCGCGUAGGCGGGCUGUCAAGUCUGGGGUGAAAUCCCACGGCUCAACCGUGGAACUGCCUUAGAUACUGACGGCCUCGAGGGAGAUAGGGGCGAGCGGAACUGUGAGUGGAGCGGUGAAAUGCGUUGAUAUUCACAGGAACUCCGGUGGCGAAGGCGGCUCGCUGGAUCUUUUCUGACGCUGAGGCGCGAAAGCUAGGGGAGCAAACGGG